rnacentral:ncRNA from 2 species
GGUCACGAGCGAUCAGCGAUACGCCCUCCGCGUGCUGGUCCGGCAACCGCGUCACUCGCGCACGGUGCCCCAGGAGGAAGACCGGCCCGCUCCAACCGGCGCGGGAAGGCUGGGUC